AUGAAGUCUACCACUCCUAAUCAUCGGAAAUGCUGUGGUUUGGUCCUAUUUCCUCUGGGAUUGCUUCUGAGGAUGCUGUCUUCAUGCCAGCGGCAGGCAGUUGAAUCACAGGCCUUCACAGGACCACUGGACUUCUGGCAGCAAACAGGAAAUCGCUCCUUUCCCUCUGACUUCACUGAGCUGGAAGACUAUACGAGAGUGUUCUUUGUCCCACGAUUGGCGAAUGUUCUUUCGUUAGUGGUUCAGACACCAAUGCCAUUUCUUCAGAGCAUUGUCUACACCUGCAUAGGGUUUGUAAAGUGUCACUUGUCCAGCACAGUGUCAGAGGGCAACAGGCCCUGGUGUGCCCAACACCCAGCAUCUCCAUCAGAUACUGCUUUGACAUCUUCACAGUGA
rnacentral:lncRNA from 1 species